GGUUUAAUUCGAUGAUACGCGAGGAACCUUACCCGGGCUUGAAUUGCAGAGGAAGGAUUUGGAGACAAUGACGCCCCUUCGGGGUCUCUGUGAAGGUGCUGCAUGGUUGUCGUCAGCUCGUGCCGUGAGGUGUCGGCUUAAGUGCCAUAACGAGCGCAACCCCUCUCCUUAGUUGCCAUCAGUUGAAGCUGGGCACUCUGGGGACACUGCCACCGUAAGGUGUGA
rnacentral:rRNA from 1 species